CAAAACCUGUGGAACACUAAACCACAUCUUCYGAAUGCAACUCAGACACUUUA
rnacentral:tRNA from 1 species